GUCACUGUUGGAGAGCCAUAUAGCACACCGUGAUUGGUGGAUUCCUUCAGCUCCGCCCACAACGCUGUCAAGCACCAUUCAUAUCAAACUCUCACUAACAUUCAACUUUCAUAUUAGCGUGGGAGCCGCAAAAUAAGAUCUCACGUGUCUGAGACCCUGGUCUAAUAUAUAUAUAGAUGUGUCAGAAGUGCUACUGACACUUUGAUCAUGUUUGCUUUUCCUGUCUUUGAAAUCACUUCCUGUCCUGCUGCUCUUAUUUUCUCACUGUUUCCUGUUUGCUCUCUGUCUUUUGUGGCACCUUUACUCUCUGCUCCGUGUCUGCACACCUGUUCCUCGUUUAAUUAGUUGUAUUUAGUUCCACCUGAGUCCCUCCUUCACUGCUUCAUCAUUAUUCUUUUUUGACGGAUGUGGAUCGGACGGGUUUUAUUCGCACGCUACAACAGUACACAAGUCUUACACAAUGUGUUAUGGGUCACGUUCCUGCUUCUCCUCCUGCUGUGCGCACUGUUGAGUGCAUGGCGGAGCACAUCAACAGGUGUUCUCUCUCCGCUGCGGGUGUGCCUCUGCAAGAGAUCUGCAAUCAACACACCUGCCCGUGAUGAGCAACCAGCCUUCAUAAUCCAGCGCGUCUUGAGAUCCGGUGCCAGAACGUAGUUUCUCCUACCAGUACACUUCCUCUUCGUCUACCUGGACCCCCUUUGGAUUCCUUCUUGCCUUCCUGGACCAAGACCUCGCUCCUGCCCUCUGACGUCCAAGCCUUUUUCUCCUUUUGGACUUCCACCUCUAUCUCAACACGCACACUCAACACCCUCUGGUGACCACGCUCAGAUAAUACUUACACAUAGUCACACUCCAUCUCUUUAAGGUAAUCACACACUGCACUCACA